rnacentral:rRNA from 1 species
GUGUCAGCCGCCGCGGUAAUACGUAGGGUGCAAGCGUUAAUCGGAAUAACUGGGCGUAAAGGGUGCGCAGGCGGGUUUGCAAGACAGAUGUGAAAUCCCCGGGCUCAACCUGGGAACUGCAUUUGUGACUGCAAGUCUAGAGUAUGGCAGAGGGAGGUGGAAUUCCAUGUGUAGCAGUGAAAUGCGUAGAGAUAUGGAGGAACACCGAUGGCGAAGGCAGCCUCCUGGGCCAAUACUGACGCUCAGGCACGAAAGCGUGGGGAGCAAACAGGAUUAGAAACCCCCGUAGUCC